GAUGAAGAACGCAGCGAAUUGCGAUAUGUAAUGUGAAUUGCAGAAUUCAGUGAAUCAUCGAAUCUUUGAACGCACAUUGCGCCCGCCAGUAUUCUGGCGGGCAUGCCUGUUCGAGCGUCAUUACAACCCUCAAGCCCCCCGGCUUGGUGUUGGGGACCGGCCACCGGUGCCCUGCUGCUUCCGCGGCAGGCGCGCCCGGCCGCCCCCGAAAUGAAUUGGCGGCCCCGUCGCGGCCUCCCUCUGCGUAGUAGCACACAUCUCGCAGCUGGAGCGCGGCGCGGCCACUGCCGUAAAACGCACCAACUUUUUUUUACAGUUGACCUCGAAUCAGGUAGGAAUACCCGCUGAACUUAAGCAUAUCAAUAAGCGGAGGA
rnacentral:misc_RNA from 1 species